rnacentral:snoRNA from 1 species
GGCAUAUGAUGGAAAACAUACAUACAUCAACUAGACACAGUCGAUGCUGUUGAUAGUUAACCUUCUUUCGGGUCUGACAAUGCC